rnacentral:rRNA from 1 species
GGGAAAGAGCUUGCUCUUUCCGGAAUUGAGUGGCAAACGGGUGAGUAACACGUAAACAACCUGCCUUCAGGAUGGGGACAACAGACGGAAACGACUGCUAAUACCGAAUAAGUUCCAAGAGCCGCAUGGCCCAUGGAAGAAAAGGUGGCCUCUACCUGUAAGCUAUCGCCUGAAGAGGGGUUUGCGUCUGAUUAGCUGGUUGGAGGGGUAACGGCCCACCAAGGCGACGAUCAGUAGCCGGUCUGAGAGGAUGAACGGCCACACUGGAACUGAGACACGGUCCAGACUCCUACGGGAGGCAGCAGUGGGGAAUCUUCCGCAAUGGGCGAAAGCCUGACGGAGCAACGCCGCGUGAGUGAUGACGGCCUUCGGGUUGUAAAACUCUGUGAUCCGGGACGAAAAGGCAGAGUGCGAAGAACAAACUGCAUUGACGGUACCGGAAAAGCAAGCCACGGCUAACUACGUGCCAGCAGCCGCGGUAAUACGUAGGUGGCAAGCGUUGUCCGGAAUUAUUGGGCGUAAAGCGCGCGCAGGCGGCUUCCCAAGUCCCUCUUAAAAGUGCGGGGCUUAACCCCGUGAUGGGAAGGAAACUGGGAAGCUGGAGUAUCGGAGAGGAAAGUGGAAUUCCUAGUGUAGCGGUGAAAUGCGUAGAGAUUAGGAAGAACACCGGUGGCGAAGGCGACUCUCUGGACGAAAACUGACGCUGAGGCGCGAAAGCGUGGGGAGCAAACAGGAUUAGAUACCCUGGUAGU